rnacentral:misc_RNA from 1 species
AAGUCGUAACAAGGUUUCCGUAGGUGAACCUGCGGAAGGAUCAUUACCGAGUUAGGGUCCUCUGGGCUCGACCUCCUACCCUUUGUCUACCUUACCUUUUGUUGCUUCGGCGGAUCCGUCCUUUCGAGGACCGCCGGAGGGGCGUAAACACCCCUCUGGCCCGCGUCCGCCGGUGGCCCACAACCCAAAACUCUUGUUUAAACGUGUCGUCUAAGUACAAAAAACAAAUAAAGUAAAAACUUUCAACAACGGAUCUCUUGGUUCUG